GAUGAACGCUGGCGGCGUGCCUAAUACAUGCCAGUCGAGCGAACGGACGAGAAGCUUGCUUCUCUGAUGUUAGCGGCGGACGGGUGAGUAACACGUGGAUAACCUACCUAUAAGACUGGGAUAACUUCGGGAAACCGGAGCUAAUACCGGAUAAUAUUUUGAACCGCAUGGUUCAAAAGUGAAAGACGGUCUUGCUGUCACUUAUAGAUGGAUCCGCGCUGCAUUAGCUAGUUGGUAAGGUAACGGCUUACCAAGGCAACGAUGCAUAGCCGACCUGAGAGGGUGAUCGGCCACACUGGAACUGAGACACGGUCCAGGCUCCUACGGGAGGCAGCAGUAGGGAAUCUUCCGCAAUGGGCGAAAGCCUGACGGAGCAACGCCGCGUGAGUGAUGAAGGUCUUCGGAUCGUAAAACUCUGUUAUUAGGGAAGAACAUAUGUGUAAGUAACUGUGCACAUCUUGACGGUACCUAAUCAGAAAGCCACGGCUAACUACGUG
rnacentral:rRNA from 1 species